ACCUAUGAAGGUCCUGGACGGUGUCCCCCAUCUCUCACUCUGCGGUGGGUUAGUGACACAGACCCCCCGUGGCAGAGAGAUCCCAGCACCCAGACACACCCAGACCGCUGUAUCUCCACUCUGCCGAUUAACCAUCCGGGGACAGAGAAGGACCAGACGGAAUGGCGAUGUCAGCUGCUGGAUACGGGGGAGGUGAAGCUCACAUCCAGACCUGACAGUCCUGAAGACAACAGUGAUCAUACAGAAACUACAAUGAAGACACCAACUCACACUGGUUCCCAUACUAACCAUACAAGUCACACAACUGUAGCUCCAACAGCUACAGCAGCAGCUCCAGAGAGGAACAGGGCGGCCCUACAGCCUGCCAGUGACCUGCAGUUAUAUCCUGUGUGUAUAUAAUGAGAGCAG